AGAGUUUGAUCAUGGCUCAGGACGAACGCUGGCGGCGUGCCUAAUACAUGCAAGUCGAACGCACAGACAACGGAACUUGUUCCGUUAGACGUGAGUGGCGCACGGGUGAGUAACACGUGGGAAACCUACCCUUCAGCGGGGGAUAACCGUCGGAAACGAUGGCUAAUACCGCAUAGGUCUUUGAACCACCUGGUUUAAAGAGGAAAGACGGCUUCGGCUGUCACUGAAGGAUGGUCCUGCGGUGCAUUAGCUAGUUGGUAAGGUAACGGCUUACCAAGGCGAUGAUGCAUAGCCGACCUGAGAGGGUGAUCGGCCACAUUGGGACUGAGACACGGCCCAAACUCCUACGGGAGGCAGCAGUAGGGAAUCUUCCGCAAUGGACGCAAGUCUGACGGAGCAACGCCGCGUGUGUGAAGAAGGUCUUCGGAUCGUAAAGCACUGUUAUUAGAGAAGAACAACCGGUAGAGUAACUGUUACCGGCUUGACGGUAUCUAACCAGAAAGCCACGGCUAACUACGUGCCAGCAGCCGCGGUAAUACGUAGGUGGCAAGCGUUGUCCGGAUUUAUUGGGCGUAAAGGGAGCGCAGGUGGUGAUUUAAGUCUGAUGUGAAAGCCCACGGCUCAACCGUGGAAGGUCAUUGGAAACUGGAUCACUUGAGUGCAGAAGAGGAAAGUGGAAUUCCAUGUGUAGCGGUGAAAUGCGUAGAUAUAUGGAGGAACACCAGUGGCGAAGGCGACUUUCUGGUCUGUAACUGACACUGAGGCUCGAAAGCGUGGGGAGCAAACAGGAUUAGAUACCCUGGUAGUCCACGCCGUAAACGAUGAGUGCUAAGUGUUGGAGGGUUUCCACCCUUCAGUGCUGGAGUUAACGCAAUAAGCACUCCGCCUGGGG
rnacentral:rRNA from 1 species